UGGCCACAUUACGUUGUGACACAAGUUCCCCUACGAUCUCCAAAGUUAAGCAACUUCAAGCUUAGUCAGUACUUAGAUGGAUGACCACUUGGGAACAUGAGGGUCUGUA